AUUGAACGCUGGCGGCGUGCUUAACACACGCAGGUCGAUCGGUAACGCGGGGGCAACCCUGGCGGCGAGAGGCGGACGGGUGAGGAACGCUUGGGAAUCUGCCUAUCAGCGGGGGACAACACGGGGAAACUCGUGCUAAUACCGCAUACGCUCUACGGAGGAAAGCCGGGGACCGCAAGGCCUGGCACUGAUAGAUGAGCCCAAGCCGGAUUAGCUAGUUGGCGGGGUAACGGCCCACCAAGGCGACGAUCCGUAGCUGGUCUGAGAGGACGAUCAGCCACACUGGGACUGAGACACGGCCCAGACUCCUACGGGAGGCAGCAGUGGGGAAUAUUGGACAAUGGGGGAAACCCUGAUCCAGCGACGCCGCGUGGGUGAAGAAGGCCUGCGGGUUGUAAAGCCCUUUCGGUAGGGACGAAAGCUCUCGACCUAACACGUCGGGAGGUUGACUUAACCUACAAAAGAAGCACCGGCUAACUCUGUGCCAGCCGCCGCAGUAAUAC
rnacentral:rRNA from 1 species